CCACAAUGGCCGAUCAAAGUUUUACAUAAGAAUAUAUAGCAAAAAUCUUUUUCUCAAGAUCCAUAGGGACAGGAAAGAUGAAACUCAUGUUGAAUCAUCCUCAGGUAGUGUACAUUCAAGUUUGUUCAAAUCAUGACCCCCCGUGGAUAGGGUGGGGCCUCAAAGGCCGAUCAAAUUUUUACAUUAUAAUAUAUUUUUAAAAAUCUUUUUCUAAAGAAUAGCUAAGCCACGAUUAGUGAUAUUUAUAUGGAAGCAUCCUCUGGUAGUGUAGAAUUAAAUUUGUUCAAAUCAUAACCUCCAAGGGUAGGGAAGGGUCUCAAAGGUGGAUCAAGGUUUACAUACGAAAAAUAAAGGGAAAAAUCUCAAUAACAGAAAAGCUAUGUUAAGUCAUAUUGACAUGUAAGCAUCCUCAUGUAUUGAUUUAAAUUUGUUCAAAUCAUGAGUACCCUUUGGGGUAGGGAGGGAAACAAUGGGGAGUCGAAUUCAAAUUAUUACAAUUGAAGUAAUAUAUAGAAACAAAAUGUUAAAAAAAAAACAUAAAAAUCUUUUUCUCGAGAAUUUUCUCAAGAACUUGUAUGCAGAAUUGAUAUGGAGGCAUUCUCAAGUAGUAUUAGAAUUCAAGCCCCCACCCAUCCCACUCCCUCAGUAAACUUUUCAAUUCUGAUCUGAUUUGUGCUUUUCCCUAGCCAAUGUGCUCAGGUGAGCGAUGUGGCCCCCGGGCCUCUUGUUUUUUUUACUUGGAUACUAUAUUUCUGUUGUUUAUAAUGAUAAUAACUAAUUUCUUUGAAUGUCGGCUGCUCUACACCUGGUCAUAAUUGAGCGCUGUUCAUUUUCAGAUAAAUCAAAUUUCCUAUUUUCCAACAGGUUUAUCUGUUCAGAAGAAAAAUUAUCACUAAAAUUAAUUCUUCCAUUAAAAUAAACAAAGAUAAAUUGCACAUAAUAUUGUAGAAAAUAAUGAAUAUCUUGAGAAAAACGAUAAUUGUAAAAUUUUCAUCCCAGUCAAGAUUUUUUGUGAAAGAGGCCCGAGUACAAAGUUGUUAUAUGCAAUGCCACUGUACCACAUUUGUAAAAUUCUGGAUAUUAAGUUGUAUGUGUUCCGGACUGACAAGGCUCUAUUCCUCUAAAAGAAGUUAUUCCCCUUUGCACAUCAUCAAUUUAUAUACAAGUUUAUGGAAAGAUUUUUCAAAAUAUAGAAUUAUACAAUUUGUUCAUAAUAAUUAUGUACCUAUUUUGCCAAAUCAUUGUUUUUUGUGUAGUCUUCAGCAGCAUUUUAAAAGUGACAAAAUGGGGCAAGAACUGUGCAUGCAAGUAAAUAGAUCUACUUUUAACUUUAUUUUAUGAGAACUAUUUUGAUUGACCCAGAUAAGCAUCUAAAUCAAUAUGAGGCUUAUGAGCAGCAGCAUAAUUUCAUCAAUUAGCUUACCGGGUAUACUAAAUAUAUUGUUUUUUAUUCAUACUUCUAUGGAGUCUUAUUAUCCUGUGUUGUUAUAUUCCGGUGAUGGUUAAUCCCCUUGGGGCUUCUGUUGAAAGCUGCACUCUAAUAAUUUCAGCAUAAUAACAAACAAUUUUUUAUUUUUUUUUUAAAUUUAUUUUUAUUUCUUCAUGAUAUAUGGAUUAACUUGUGUAUACUUGAAUUUUUAACAUCAUCCCUGAAAAUUCAACAAUAACAAAUCACAGUUUAACAAAAUAUACAAUGAGAUUAAAAAUUACAAUAAAAAUUGAAAGAAAAAA